UACAGAGGGGGCAAGCGUUGGUCGGAAUUACUGGGCGUAAAGGGCGCGUAGGCGGCCUGUUAAGUCGAACGUGAAAUCCCCGGGCUCAACCCGGGAACUGCGUCCGAUACUGGCAGGCUUGAAUUCGGGAGAGGGAUGUGGAAUUCCAGGUGUAGCAGUGAAAUGCGUAGAUAUCGUGAGGAACACCAGAGGCGAAGGCGGUUACCUGGACAGUUACUGACGCUCAGGCACGAAAGCAUGGGGAGCAAAAGGG
rnacentral:rRNA from 1 species